rnacentral:tRNA from 1 species
GAGAGGGUUAGAAGACCUGCUAACUCUUCAGCCUGGAAAACGUACCAGCCCUCUCU